rnacentral:rRNA from 1 species
UACGGGAGGCAGCAGUGGGGAAUAUUGCACAAUGGGCGCAAGCCUGAUGCAGCCAUGCCGCGUGUAUGAAGAGGGCCUUCGGGUUGUAAAGUACUUUCAGUCGUGAGGAAGGUGUUAAGGUUAAUAACCUUAGCAAUUGACGUUAGCGACAGAAGAAGCACCGGCUAACUCCGUGCCAGCAGCCGCGGUAAUACGGAGGGUGCGAGCGUUAAUCGGAAUUACUGGGCGUAAAGGGCACGCAGGCGGUUAAUUAAGUUGGAUGUGAAUCCCCGGGCUUAACCUGGGAAUGGCAUUCAAGACUGGUUAGCUAGAGUCUUGUAGAGGGGGUAGAAUUCCAUGUGUAGCGGUGAAAUGCGUAGAGAUGUGGAGGAAUACCGGUGGCGAAGGCGGCCCCUGGACAAAGACUGACGCUCAUGUGCGAAAGCGUGGGGAGCAAACAGGGAUUAGAUACC